rnacentral:lncRNA from 1 species
AGACAAAAAGGUAUGUGGUGAAGACUCCCUGCCAUCCACGUCUCCCUUGUACCCACUGUUGUGUUUUAGGAAGCCUUCUGGAAUUACUUCUUUUACAGGAAUGAAAUUUUCCUUGAGAUCUCCUCUAAAUCCAGCUGUUCGGAGCUUUGUUCCUGGCCCAAGACCUCCAUAUCCAUUUGGAAAAUGGGAGGAACUGAAAACCGGAAGUUCUUAUGAUGGGAGAGAGAGGUCGGGCUGUGGAGAAGCAAGUGAGGUGGCUGAAACAGAUGGCUAGAGGAAGUGUGCCACCCCUACUUUGACCAGCAAAGAGAUCACUCCACACAAUUGCUGC